ACUCCUGCGGGAGGCAGCAGUGGGGAAUUUUGGACAAUGGGCGAAAGCCUGAUCCAGCAAUGCCGCGUGAGUGAAGAAGGCCUUCGGGUUGUAAAGCUCUUUUGUCAGGGAAGAAACGGUGAAAGCUAAUAUCUUUUGCUAAUGACGGUACCUGAAGAAUAAGCACCGGCUAACUACGUGCCAGCAGCCGCGGUAAUACGUAGGGUGCAAGCGUUAAUCGGAAUUACUGGGCGUAAAGCGUGCGCAGGCGGUUUUGUAAGUCUGAUGUGAAAUCCCCGGGCUCAACCUGGGAAUUGCAUUGGAGACUGCAAGGCUAGAAUCUGGCAGAGGGGGGUAGAAUUCCACGUGUAGCAGUGAAAUGCGUAGAUAUGUGGAGGAACACCGAUGGCGAAGGCAGCCCCCUGGGUCAAGAUUGACGCUCAUGCACGAAAGCGUGGGGAGCAAACAGGAUUAGAUACCCGGGUAGUCC
rnacentral:rRNA from 1 species